GUCUACAAGAAUACACAGAAGGAAAUACUUGGUAGCUACUUUCACUCGUGAUUUUGGCCGAUUUAGAGUUGGUUUUCGAAGAUGGUGAAGUUGAAGAAAAGAUAGAUUAAGGCAUUAUUUCAGCACUUGGAGGAGUCAUUUGGAGUUUCUGGAGUAGGAUUUGCCGUGCUAAGUGAAGUACGAAGGGGGAGAUCAAGGUUGACUCUGUUCAUAUAUUACUGGUGACGGAUAUUUAUUCGAACUAUUUGGACGCUUAAUUGCAUUUGCAAGCACAUCCAUAUUGGACCUAAGGU